AAGGAAGUGCUUGCAGCCGCCUGCGAGGGGCGGCAGUUCUCACUCCCCCGGCGCUGGGAGGAGGCUGGAGGAAGUUUGGCUCCGCUGAUACUAGCCCGGCCGGCUCAGCUCGUAGCUAAGCAGCAGCAGCAGCAGCAGCAGCUCGCGUUGCUCCUGAGCCACCGGCCGCUCACUCCAGAUCUUUCCUGAAAGAAGCUCCAGGGUCCCAUCACUACUCACUCUUCAAGCUUUUCCUCCAGUGUCCAGUGCAUAUAUUCACACUUUUGAGAAAUGAGAACAGAUGACUCUGAAGCUGUUGAAGUGGGUUGGAGAUCAUGAGUACAAAGAAACUUUUUU
rnacentral:lncRNA from 1 species